CUACUAUUCAUUCAAUUUCAUCACCAGCUCAUGGUUUUUCUUUGUUUUCUUUUUCAUUCUCAUUUAUCAGAACGAAGCAAAAGAAUUCUUCUCAGAACCAAAAGGCAAGGAACAGAAAACAAGUCACUCAACUGAACAAAGACUGAUUCCUACUGUAACAAACCUGAACUCAACACAGCACUCUCACAUAGGUAUCAGUGUCCACAGGAAGAAACAUCCCAGUGCCAGGGCAGAAAUUACUCACUCGGAUGUACAUCUGACUUAUCUCCACCCAAGUAUUUCAGUGCCUGGAGGCUUACUGCAGAUGUCCUUUUUGUGUACACGUCUGUGGAUAUGUUGAACAUUGUGCAGCCAACGCUCUCUUUUGGAUACCGGAAGAAACUAUCCACCAGUAAGGAGGACACAAAGAAUAAUCAAGCUGUGGUAAAUGGCAAAUGCAGAAGUGACAAUCAACCUGCACAAAGAUGAUUGGAGCCAAAGUAAAUGUUGUUAUGUAUGUUGGAUUUUCAGUGAACACUGGAAUCUCAUUUAAAACUAUUGAUGCAUUACCAUGUGAUUGAAUUCUGUUCUUACACAACAAGAUGUAUAUAGAAAUAAAUGACAAAAAAUGUUCAGGAAUAUUUUAGUUAUUAUUUUUAAUUAUUUAACACAGUCACUCCAGGCAUCACUGAAUCUCAGAGAUAUGUUAAAU
ensembl:lncRNA